rnacentral:tRNA from 1 species
GGGUGGGUGGCAGAGUGGUCGAUUGCUCCGGUCUUGAAAACCGGCGGGCGUGCAAGCGUCCCGGGGUUCGAAUCCCUCCCCACCCGCCA